rnacentral:tRNA from 1 species
GUUAAUGUAGCUUAAACCAAAGCAAAGCACUGAAAAUGCUUAGAUGAGUAUCUUAUACUCCAUAAACA